rnacentral:lncRNA from 1 species
AUGAGACGACAACUCAUCACCUUCCUUCCCCACUAUACACUAACUCAUAACAAAGAACCAUUUUAUUAUCUCAUCAUAAAAAGCCGCCAAGCGGCAGGGAUUCACAGCCACACGCGGCCAGUCCCAAAACACGAAAUAGGGCCAUCUAAGGCCGAAACAUAAAAAACAUAAAAACAAAUCUCUCGCAAGAGAUCUAACCCAAGUCAUCCUCAGAACUCACGCCCCCUCUUCACCCGUCACCUCGUCC